GGAGGAGAUGAUAAUGAAGAUCUCUAAAUACUAAAAUGGUAUUCCUGGUUACAAUUACAACUUGCAUAUAUGAGGCAAUCAUUUAAUAAAUAUCGAAUAUAAACCGACUGGAAGUCCCUAUUUCCGAUUCUUGCCUACAAUUUAUCAAGAAUUUUCUCAUGCAACCCUUUGAUGCAGAAUAACUCUGCCUCUAUAUGUUUGAUUUAUCUAGAAUCUAGGUCUGAUUGAAUGUGAAUCACUAGCAUAAUCAUGUUAACUUGAAUAAGUUUCCAAACUGGCUUGUUGAAUGCAGUUUCAGAAGAAUAAAAUUCUUGAUUAUGGGGUUUGAUCAAAAGCAGACUGAGCUUGAAAACAGGCCACAACAAUAAUUUUGUGCAAAUGUGGUAUUUACACAAACUGCUAUUAGUCAAAGCUGUAGGUUGAAGAUGAUAUUCCAAGAGAGGACGCAAACGUUGCUGUGGUGUCUCCGUUGAGGUACCUCUUGAGGCGAUCCAGAUCAUCAGCGCAGUCGAGCAUUGUAGGCCGUGUGGAGGGAGAGUCCUGUGUGCAGAGCAAGCCAAGCUCCAUCAGCUCUACAAUGGCCACUUCCCACAUUCUCUUCACCUCAUCCGAUUGGUCCCUCAGCGUCCUCAGCAACGUCAUGUCCACCACGCAUUCAGCUUGGCUAUGGAAGUGGCUCUUCACGUAGCUCUGCAGGCUUAGCCCUCCAACAAACAUGUCAUCUGUUGGCCUCUUUCUCGUCACCAUCUCCAAAACCAGAACUCCAAAGCUGUAAACAUCCCCCCUCGUUGAUGUACUCGAUCCAUAUCCAUACUCUUGCAGGCAAAAGAGAUCCAUACCUGGUGCAAUGUAUCCAAUUGACCCGCUUAGCAUAUUGGCCGUGGAGUUGCCCAUAUUCUCAAUAACUCCGGCACCAUUUCCUGCUCCAAUGGCGAUCAGCCUCGCUAUCCCAAAAUCAGAGACUAAAGCAGUCAUGUCGUUGUUGAGAAGAACGUUGCUAGGCUUGAGGUCACAGUGUACGACCUUAACCGGGGAGUGAUGGUGCAGAUAAGCCAUUCCUUCUGCAAUGUCACUGCAGAUGUUGACCCUCUGAAGCAGGCUCAGAUCAGAGGAGCCUGAUCUGAGGCCGUCUGCUGCGUGCAGAUACAGACGGCUAUCCAAGCUUCCAUUCGCCAUGUAGGGCAAGACAAGGGCCUUAAAGUCCGGCAAGCUGCACGCUGUGAUGAUCCGUAUCAGAUUCCUGUGGCGGAUCCUCUUCAACACUUGGCAUUCUCGGGUGAAGCUCUUGGUGGAGUUCCCCGUCUGCAGAUGUAGAACCUUGACUGCUAUCUGUGCGCCGUCUGGGAGAACUCCCCUGUAGACACGGCCAUAGCUUCCGGAGCCAACUAGCCUCUGCUCAUCAAAUCCAUCAGUAGCAUCUAACAGCUCCUUGUAGGAUAUUCUUGGAAAAUUGUGAGUCAAGUCCAGUUCUUGAUUUCUUACCUGCCCAGCUGGAUUGGAAGACAUGAUGAAAGUUCUCAAUCGCCGGCAUCCCAUCACACAGCAGAUUAUUGUGCAUAUUCCUGAUAUAAAUAUGACAAUGCAGAAGAUGAUCACGAAGAUGAGAGAGUGGAAGAAGCGCUGCCUUCUGCUGCAGACUGGAAUACGCGGAAUUCGCCCACAGAGAUGUUGGUUGCCAGUGAAGGACAGAUACGUCAUAGAAUCAAAUGCACCUCCUGUGGGAAUGCUUCCAUCAAAGUUGUUGAAUGCAAGAUUCAAGAAGGUCAGCGUGCUGAUCUUGUUCAAGCUCUCGGGGAUCUUUCCCACCAACUUGUUUCUAGAAACAUCAAAAGCCACGAGGCUCUUGAGACCGCCUAGUGAUUCGGGGAGAUGCCCUUGUAGAGAAUUGUUGGACAGGUUUAGCAUCUUCAGCUCCAAGCAACUUGAUAUCUGGUCAAAGAUGUUCCCACUGAAGAAGUUUGAUGACAAGUCAAUUUCUUCGACUGCUGAGAGCUUGCUGAGCUCCAUUGCCCCUAUGAGUUGGUUGUGAGACAGAUUGAGAAACCUACGCAUUUCGUGGAAUCCUGAUAGCUCCGGAGGUACAUUUCCUGUCAGUUGGUUGUAAGAGAGGUCCAGCGCUUGUAGGGCCGUGCAGCUCCCUAAGCUCGGAGGUAUCUCCCCUGAGAGAAGGUUGUUGUUGAGGAACAGAAAACGUAGUUCUGCCAUAUUUCUGAGUUCUUCAGGAAUCUGACCCGACAAAUUGUUAUGCGAAAGAUCCACCAAACCAAGAGAUGAUAGGUUUCCUAAUGGAGUUAGAAUUGUGGUGAAGAAGUUGAAAGACAGGCAAAGCUGUUCCAAAUGUUUCAGCUUGCCUAUUUCUGCAGGAAUAGUGCCAGUGAAAAGCUGCAGCUCCCCAAAAUAUCCGCCUAGUCCUCCAAUGGAGCUCGGGAGCCUCCCACCAAGCCCAUUGCUCGCCAGCUGCAGCUCAGCUAGCUCGGUGCAGUUUGCCAGUGCGGUGAAAAAUGGGUCAAGAUUAGAGUUGUUGCUGUGACUAAUCAUAUUGUUGUUUGACAAAUGAAGAUACCACAUCUUGUGGAGCUUUGCCAGCAUCUCCGAGGGUAGCUCACCAGAAAGAUUGUUGCACUCGACAUCCAGAUUGAAGAGCCGUGUGGCGUUCCCUAAAGAGAUGGGGAUUUUGCCGUGGAGCUUAUUGUUGUAUAAAUUUACAGCCAAUAGGUGAGGACAGUUGCCGAUUUCUGCUGGGAUCGUCCCUGUUAGCUGGUUACCUGAAAAAUCGACUACUUUGAGCUUCGUGCAGUUGGAGAAGAAUGAUGAUGGGAUUUCUCCACUCAAGUUGUUGUAGUCCAGAGUGAUCAAGGUGAGAUGGGAGAGUGAGGACAGAGAGUGUGGAAUAUGGCCAUGCAAGUCGUUGCUUCCGAGUUUGAGUUCUUGAAUGUAUCUAAGGGAUGAGAAUUCUUGAGGUAUGGUGCCAAAGAAAUGGUUGUUGGAAAGGGACAGGUUCCGGAGUUGGGUUAGAUUUGAAAGCACAGGAGACAGCAGUCCCGAGAGGGCAUUGUUGUUGAGGUUCAAAUCCACCACGCGAUGAUGCAGCUUUCCGCAUUUCACACUCGUGAAGUUGCACACGUCGUUGUGUUCGUUCCAGUUUGCAAGGCUUGAAUAGGGAUCCGAUGACAAGCCAUUCUUGAAUGCCAAGAGCGCAGCUCUAUCAGUAUGGAUCGAGCGAUGCACGAGUGGAUGAUGACCCUGCCCGAGUAGUAGAACGAAACACUGCAACAGGGAGAUUGUGAGUAUCAAGAUCUUGAAAAACAUGAUGCUCUGUGGUGGCUUCGUUGCUCCAACGGGGGGAGAACUAGGCGUUGAACAUGUGAGAGAUUGCAAGGUCUUUUGUGAUGAACAGCUUCAAGGGGCACUCUGAAUAUUUGUGUAGAUUCCUUGCCUUAGAUGGGUGAGUGUGAGGGUGGAAAUGCAUACUAGAGUUCAAAUGAAGCAUGAUUUAUGGAGGGACUAUGCCAAAAGUUGUUGGUUUAUUGCAAAUGGUGACUGGAUUUUCAACUGAGAUGGAUGUCGAUUAUGAUGAUCUUAGACCUUGGCUGAUGUAACAGCAUGCUGCAGCUCAAGUGGGAAGAUAAAUAUUUGGUGUUCUGAUUUCUGAGUAAGCUCUGUUUUGCCCUUGUCUAGAUUUCUUGAUUAUUUUUGCUUGCUCCUGGGGAUUUCUUAAUUUGAACUCAAUAUUGCGCCGUUUUUAUAAAGAAAACUUGGAUAUUGCAUUUGAAAUCUAAUUAAGGUUGCAUUAC